rnacentral:rRNA from 1 species
AACGAACGCUGGCGGCAGGCUUAACACAUGCAAGUCGAGCGCCCCGCAAGGGGAGCGGCAGACGGGUGAGUAACGCGUGGGAAUCUACCCAUCCCUACGGAACAACUCCGGGAAACUGGAGCUAAUACCGUAUACGCCCUUCGGGGGAAAGAUUUAUCGGGGAUGGAUGAGCCCGCGUUGGAUUAGCUAGUUGGUGGGGUAAUGGCCUACCAAGGCGACGAUCCAUAGCUGGUCUGAGAGGAUGAUCAGCCACACUGGGACUGAGACACGGCCCAGACUCCUACGGGAGGCAGCAGUGGGGAAUAUUGGACAAUGGGCGAAAGCCUGAUCCAGCCAUGCCGCGUGAGUGAUGAAGGCCCUAGGGUUGUAAAGCUCUUUCACCGGUGAAGAUAAUG